GAUGAACGCUAGCGGGAGGCCUAACACAUGCAAGCCGAGCGGUAUUGUUUCUUCGGAAAUGAGAGAGCGGCGUACGGGUGCGUAACACGUGUGCAACCUGCCUUUCUCUGGGGGAUAGCCUUUCGAAAGGAAGAUUAAUACUCCAUAAUAUAUUGAACGGCAUCGUUUAAUAUUGUAAGCUCCGGCGGAUAGAGAUGGGCACGCGCAAGAUUAGCUAGUUGGUGAGGUAACGGCUCACCAAGGCGAUGAUCUUUAGGGGGCCUGAGAGGGUGAUCCCCCACACUGGUACUGAGACACGGACCAGACUCCUACGGGAGGCAGCAGUGAGGGAUAUUGGUCAAUGGGAGCAAGCCUGAACCAGCCAUCCCGCGUGAAGGACGACUGCCCUAGGGGUUGUAAACUUCUUUUGUAUAGGGAUAAACCUACCCUCGAGAGGGUAGCUGAAGGUACUAGACGAAUAAGCACCGGCUAACUCCGUG
rnacentral:rRNA from 1 species